GCGAACGUUGGCGGCGUGCUUAAUACAUGCAAGUCAACUGAAGCAGUGGUAGCAAUAUCGCUGUGGAGGUGGCGCACGGGUGAGUAACACGUAGGUAAUCUGCCUUCAGGUCUGGCAUAACUCCGGGAAACCGGGGCUAAUAGCAGAUGAUGCAGCGGCUCGACAUCGAGACAGUUGUUAAAGCUAUGGCGCCUGAAGAUGAGCCUGCGUCUGAUUAGCUAGUUGGCGGGGUAACGGCCCACCAAGGCAACGAUCAGUAGCUGGUCUGAGAGGAUGAUCAGCCACACUGGAACUGAGACACGGUCCAGACUCCUACGGGAGGCAGCAGUAAGGAAUAUUGCUCAAUGGGAGAAAUCCUGAAGCAGCAACGCCGCGUGAGGGACGAAGGGCUUUUGCUUGUAAACCUCUGUAGUGAGAGAAAAAAAUCCCAAUCUUUGGGACAUGAUGGUAUCUCAAAAGUAAGCCCCGGCUAACUACGUG
rnacentral:rRNA from 1 species